CGCCUAGGCCGGCGGCCAUCGGCGCCCCGCCGAUCGCGGCCGCGGCCGCAGCCGCCGGUGCCAGGCCGGCGGCGCCGCCCA
rnacentral:tRNA from 1 species